rnacentral:sRNA from 1 species
GACCUAAAACAACGAAAGCCCUGCCUCUCUUCCAUCAAUACGGUUCCUUGACCGCGCCUUUAAGAAUUAGGAUUUCAAAA